GACGAACGCUGGCGGCGUGCUUAACACAUGCAAGUCGAACGGACAGGCCCUGCUUUUGUGGGGUGCUCGAGUGGCGCACGGGUGAGUAGCACGUGUGUAACAUGCCCUUGACUUUGGGAUAACUUCAGGAAACUGGGGCUCAUACCGGAUAGGAGCUCCUGCUGCAUGGUGGGGGUUGGAAAGUUUCGGCGGUUGGGGAUCGACUCGCGGCUUAUCAGCUUGUUGGUGAGGUAGUGGCUUACCAAGGCUUUGACGGGUAGCCGGCCUGAGAGGGUGACCGGCCACAAUGGGACUGAGAGACGGCCCAGACGGCUACGGGAGGCAGCAGGCGAGAAUAUUGCGCAAUGGGCGGAAGCCUGAUGCAACAACGCCGCGUGCGGGAUGACGGCCUUCGGGUGGUAAACCGCUGUCGCCUGUGACGAAGCGGGAGUGACGGUAAUGGGUAAAGAAGCACCGGCUAACUACGUG
rnacentral:rRNA from 1 species